CCAUACUCACUGGUCUACGGGAUGGAAGCGGUAUUACCUGUUGAGGUUGAAAUUCCUUCCCUAAGGAUUCUGAAGGAAUCAGGGAUUGGUGAGUCAGAAUGGAUCCAGUCAAGGUUGGAUCAGUUAAACUUGCUGGAUGAGAAAAGGUUAACAGCAGCAUGUCACGGGCAAUUAUAUCAGAGGAGAAUGGCCAGAGCAUUUGAUAAAAACGUACGCCCACGGGAAUUCCUACCUGGGGACUUAGUUCUAAAGAAAGUACUACCAAACCAAAACGAUCCCCGGGGCAAAUGGUCACCAACUUACGAGGGACCCUAUGUGGUUAAAAAGGCGUUUACUGGAGGAGCUUUGAUCUUGACCCACAUGGACGGUGAAGAAUUCCCGAGACCUGUGAAUGCCAACACUGUCAAGAGGUAUUAUGCAUAAACAAGCGAAGGAUGAAAACCCGAAAGGGCGUCCGAAAAAAAAAAAAAAAAAAAAAAAACCUUUUUGGGGUGAAAACCAAAAAGGGCGUCCCAAGAACCAAACUGGAGGAAUAAGGAAGGGGGCAUGAAACCGCGGAUAGAGAGGCAACCGUCACGGCAAGGGACUUCAGAGAACUUGGAAUAUGGCAGUUAAAAGAUUUCAAAACCAACUAAAAGGAAUAUAUGAGAUCUAUCCUUGUACCUUUCCUUUUCCUUUGCUUUGAAAGUCUAUUUUUCCUAAAGCCAUGAUAAAGUUAUACUCCAUUCCUUCUGCUUUUGUUUUUCCUGCUUACUCACUUUCUAAUACUAUCCUUUCUCUUUGACUAAUGCGCUAU
rnacentral:misc_RNA from 1 species